CUAUACAUGCAGUCGAGCGAACUGAUUAGAAGCUUGCUUCUAUGACGUUAGCGGCGGACGGGUGAGUAACACGUGGGCAACCUGCCUGUAAGACUGGGAUAACUUCGGGAAACCGAAGCUAAUACCGGAUAGGAUCUUCUCCUUCAUGGGAGAUGAUUGAAAGAUGGUUUCGGCUAUCACUUACAGAUGGGCCCGCGGUGCAUUAGCUAGUUGGUGAGGUAACGGCUCACCAAGGCAACGAUGCAUAGCCGACCUGAGAGGGUGAUCGGCCACACUGGGACUGAGACACGGCCCAGACUCCUACGGGAGGCAGCAGUAGGGAAUCUUCCGCAAUGGACGAAAGUCUGACGGAGCAACGCCGCGUGAGUGAUGAAGGCUUUCGGGUCGUAAAACUCUGUUGUUAGGGAAGAACAAGUACGAGAGUAACUGCUCGUACCUUGACGGUACCUAACCAGAAAGCCACGGCUAACUACGUGCCAGCAGCCGCGGUAAUACGUAGGUGGCAAGCGUUAUCCGGAAUUAUUGGGCGUAAAGCGCGCGCAGGCGGUUUCUUAAGUCUGAUGUGAAAGCCCACGGCUCAACCGUGGAGGGUCAUUGGAAACUGGGGAACUUGAGUGCAGAAGAGAAAAGCGGAAUUCCACGUGUAGCGGUGAAAUGCGUAGAGAUGUGGAGGAACACCAGUGGCGAAGGCGGCUUUUUGGUCUGUAACUGACGCUGAGGCGCGAAAGCGUGGGGAGCAAACAGGAUUAGAUACCCUGGUAGUCCACGCCGUAAACGAUGAGUGCUAAGUGUUAGAGGGUUUCCGCCCUUUAGUGCUGCAGCUAACGCAUUAAGCACUCCGCCUGGGGAGUACGGUCGCAAGACUGAAACUCAAAGGAAUUGACGGGGGGCCCGCACAAGCGGUGGAGCAUGUGGGUUUAUUUCUAAGCAACGCCGAAGAACCUUACCAGGGCUUGACAUCCUCCUGACAACUC
rnacentral:rRNA from 2 species